rnacentral:rRNA from 1 species
GAUGAACGCUAGCGGCAGGCCUAAUACAUGCAAGUCGAACGGUGUCUUCGGACAUAGUGGCGCACGGGUGCGUAACACGUAUGCAACCUACCUUACAUUGGGGGAUAGCCUUUCGAAAGGGAGAUUAAUACCGCAUAAGACAGUAACUAGGCAUCUAGUAGCUGUUAAAGAUUUAUCGAUGUAAGCUGGGCAUGCGUCCAAUUAGCUAGUUGGUGAGGUAACGGCUCACCAAGGCAAUGAUUGGUAGGGGAACUGAGAGGUCAAUCCCCCACACGGGCACUGAGAUACGAGCCAGACUCCUGCGGGAGGCAGCAGUAGGGAAUAUUGGGCAAUGGACGCAAGUCUGACCCAGCCAUGCCGCGUGCAGGAUGAAGGCGUUAUGCGUUGUAAACUGCUUUUAUACAGGAAGAAACGACUCUUGCGAGAGGCAUUGACGGUACUGUAUGAAUAAGCACCGGCUAACUCCGUGCCAGCAGCCGCCGCAGUAA